UUUGUCAUAAAUUACCGACUAUCUCCUGAGCUGUUGUUAUUGAUUUUGCCGUUACAGCAAGCACAAUAUCCUCUUCAUUUGCAGGGGUCAAUUUGGUCGGUCUACCUGAUCCCCGUUUCCUCAUAAUGUUGCCGGUCUUGCGGAACCGAUGUUGCCAUAAAGAUACGAAUGACGCAAAGAGAACUCUUCGCUAAGGAAUUUAGCGGUUAGUCCUAUUCAUUUUGGAGAAACAUGAUAUUCCUCGACGAAAAGCGGUUUGGAUUGAAAGCUGACGGGGAAAUAUUUUCCACGUGCCAUCAAUGAUCACGCAGGGGAACUAUUUUAGCGUGCGGCGCUGUUUCUG